AAAGAAAUUUCGUCCCAAAAUUUGAAAAGUAAGCACGAAAGAGUGAAAUGAGAAAUCCAGAUUGUUGCGGAUUUUCCUCAGGUCCCACAAGAAAGGUGUGAUGAUGAUUCUUAAACAUAAUUCUAUUUGUAUUUACUUCUUACAAUUGUUUGUCCAGGUAAUAGCAACGUUAGUGUUGGAUCUGCAAAAUGAGAGCAAAUGUGUGAUAAACGAAAGAAGUAGAAACAUAGCAAAAGUGUAGGGGAUAAGGGAACUUCCUGCGUUAUUCAUUUCCGGCGGUUUUCUCAACUCCGAUUCUAAUGAAGCAAGCCAUUGAAGCUUCAGAUUGUUUAAGACCAGAAUUGGACCUUGUUUAAGACCAGAAUUGGGCCUUAGAACCGGGGACAUUGUUGAAAUCGAAUUGGAAGUGCCUUAGAAUGGAAUACAUAAGGGUAUUGUAAUCUCAAACAAAAGGCUGGUAAAAGCUAGAAGAAGCGGUCAGACUCGCAGACUUUUCUUAGAUUUUUUUCCAGUCGCGAAACACCCGUCGGGCAGCCUGGAAAAAAUAAUGGUGUGAGUCUGGAAACAAUAAAGGUGAGGGUAGGGGAAAGUGCUAACCUAAAUUUGUAGUUAUAUGCAGUCCUUAUUUUUUCAUGCCUUCUUUAUUUAUGUAGCUCUUUUUCAUGCUAGAAAUGUGACCUCGGAGAAGCAAUAAAACCUCAAUUAUGUACACCUAUGCCUGUAGCUUUUGAAUGCUAUUUAGAUUAAAAAAGAAAUGGGUGUGUCAUUGUGAUUUAUAUGAUUUAUGAAGUUUUUUUGGAAUCUGAUACAUAUAUUAAUUGAAGAUUGAAGGUUUUUGCUAUUAAGAUAAUAAUGAAAUGUCUAUUUUCUAUUAUUCAGGUUUGUUAAGACUCUAAAUGUUAAUACUUAUUUUCUUAUCUUUAAUAUUGAUCAAAUUCCACAUAUAAUUAGCUUUUCUAGUAUUGUCCUUUUUAAAUUAAUAAUUUAUCAAAUAUCGUUUUAUUGUAGUGGGAGGCACUUAUCUUUGGUUACAGGAAAGCCUAAAUCAAAUAAGUUCCUUACCUGAGGGCCUUGCUGCAAUAGGCCUUUCACUUGCAAUGGGGCAUACAUUUACACAUUCAUUUUUGUAAGUAAUGGGUCACAUGGGUAAAAAUCGAACAUGUCAAAUGGGUCAGAAGUGACCAUGACCUGAAGUUUAUUUUAAUAAUCACAACUUCUUAACUUGA